CGCAUAUUGCGCCCUUUGGUAUUCCGAAGGGCAUGCCUGUUCGAGCGUCAUUAUCACCUCUCAAGCCCCGGCUUGGUGUUGGACUUCGUUGUAGACAUCGUCUGCAACGGGUCCCAAAGACAGUGACGCCGUCCCAGAGGGAACCGGUACGAGGAGCUUCCAGUUAAGCAUGUACGCGGGACGACUUUGCGGACGGCGGCCUCUUAUUAAUUUUUCAAGUGUUGACCUCGGAUCAGGUAGGGAUACCCGCUGAACUUAA
rnacentral:misc_RNA from 1 species